UCUCACACUAUCUUCCGACACCCAUCUAUAAGCCUUGCAAAGAACUUCAUCUUCCUCAUUGUCUCUGCCCAUUGACGUCGAACAGCACCGCAUUAGCGUCUACAACACCACUGGAGUUUCCCGUCGAGAUUCACGAAGAGGAGAGGGUCUACGUCUUGCAGUUGAUCUUCGGACACCUCCUGACUAGUAGCAACUAUGAUGAUACGGUGAAGAAGGCCAUCGGUGGACGCAAAGGCUACGGCACCAAGCUUACGAACAUCUUCUCCACCGAGUUCAUCAUCGAGACGGUGAACGAAAUGCGAUAAAAGAAGUAUAAGCAGGAUCCUAAAACAAAAAAGCCUCGUGUGAAGCUAUUUUGACAAAGCGACCGGAAAGAAAAAGGGAGACACACUUGUUACAUGUAUGAAGUGCAGGGUAAAUGGAAGAACGCGAAUAGAUGGAAUCCUUUAAAUGGGGAGCCAUUCAUUAGAGUUUGCGAAGUUGAUGAAAUAGGAAUUAAGCCAUUUGUGGAGAGCUUGUCCAAGUGCCCAAAACAUGGUCUUCACAAUCCAUUCAAGGCACCAGAGAUGUUUGUGCUUAUUACCAUUCUAUUUCUGUGUCAUCAUUUAUCUUUAGGCAUAAUUUGUUUCUUUAGAUUGCUCACAUGGUUUCAUGUAAUGGUAGAGAACAAGAAGAUUUUCAUUAACUUUUCCCUUUUGAAGAACUUGACAGUGAUAUUUUGCAACAAUAUCAAUUAGCGAAACUCUUCACCCUAA